CCAAUUUGUACGCGGUAAGAAAAAUGUUAAACGAGGAUCAGUAUUUUGUGUGCCAAUUUGUACGCGAUAAGGAAGGUAUAGGAUCAGUAUUGUGUGCGCCAAUUUGUACGCGAUAAGGAAGGUAUAGGAUCAGUAUUGUGUGCGCCAAUUUGUACGCGAUAAGGAAGGUAUUGGAUCAGUAUUGUGUGCGCCAGUUUGUACGCGAUAAGGAAGGUAUAGGAUCAGUAUUGUGUGCGCCAA